rnacentral:lncRNA from 1 species
GAUCCCUUGCCUUAACCUGAAAAUAAUGACUUGGAUGUAAAUAGAAAACUGGCGAUAGUUUAAAAUAUUCUUGCGUAGCACCAAGAUAUCAGUUACCAUUCUAGGGGAAAAAAGGAAGAAUUGUUUUUUGUAAUCAAGACGGAUCUAACAACGCAGUCUGGGCUCCGUGCCAAAGGCUGGUAUUUCACAGCAGCGACCGCCUUACAGAUGAGCUGUGGGAAGCAGGAGGGAGACUCUCUUAGGGUGCCACUACUAUGGAGACACAGCUGGGCUGAACAAGAUUUGCUUCAAACGACAACAAGAGAGACAGAAAGAGUCUGGUUCGACCGCUGCCCAAGCAGGCAGUAACCAGAAGAGCUAGCAGCCAAUCCGGCCAUGCUGCACUGUUCGAAACCAGCUCUACAUCCCAGCCAAUCAGUGACAUCACUGCAUCAGCCAAGCAAGCAGAUCUCAGCUACCUCUGAGGGUUACAAGGAACCUCAUCCUAGAAAAAGUGCAGCAAAGACUUCGGUAAUUUGAUAUUUCUCUUUGGCAUGUUCAUUGUUCUUUACCUGUAGCAGACAUGCCUUAGAUGGGUUUCACCUGCUACAAAAAGCUGUGAGAAAUCACAGAAA